CCCAGCCCCCUGGGCAGCCCCGGGCGCGGCCCCCGAGAGCUCACGGGGAUUGCCCCGGGCGCAGAGCCACAGUGGCCCAGGCUGCGCUCCCUUUGGCAACGGGGGUGGCGCGCGCGGAGCGUACUUUGGCACCUGGCGGGCGUGGGGGUACCGGGCUCAGGGCCCUGGAAACGGCCGCGGUUCAGGGUCCCUCGGUAACCGAAUUUAGUCGUCGAGAGCUCCUGGCCCAGUGCCCAGGACAGGUCUUAUUAUCGGGCCCCGGAAAUAAGCUGUCUGUUUGGGGUCCCGUUUGCCGAACGCCACUUGGCCACCCUUAGCGGUCGCGUCUCUCCCCUGGGAUUUAACAGCGAGUUAAUUUCCUGUCCCGGGCAAUCCUGCGCGAGUCCCUCGCCCCUCCCUCUCCGGCUCUCCCGCUCCGUCCCCUCCGCCCCGGGCUCCCCGAGUCCGCCGGCGCUACGCUUAGCCGCCCCCGCGCGCCCGGGCGCACGCCCUCGCCGCCUCGACCGCCCUCAGUCACCCAGCGUCGGGCCGCCGGGCCCCGCGCGCCGCCCCGCUCCCGGGCUCGUCCGGAGAGCCGCGCCCGCGUCGCCGCGGCUGGCGCGAGCCCCCGGCCAUGCGCUCCAGUACAGCGCCCCGCGCCCCAGCGGGCGCCGCCGCCGCCGCCGCCGCCGCCGCGCUCGGGCUCUGCAGCCUCCUGCUGCUGCUCGGGCCCGGGCACGCGUGCCCCGCGGGCUGCGCCUGCACCGACCCGCACACCGUGGACUGCCGAGACCGCGGGCUGCCCAGCGUGCCCGACCCCUUCCCUCUGGACGUGCGCAAGCUGCUGGUGGCCGGCAACCGCAUCCAGCGCAUUCCCGAGGACUUCUUCAUCUUCUACGGCGACUUGGUCUACCUGGACUUUAGGAACAACUCGUUGCGCUCUUUGGAGGAGGGCACUUUCAGCGGCUCGGCCAAGCUCGCCUUCCUGGACCUCAGCUACAACAACCUGACCCAGCUGGACGCCGGCGCCUUCCGCUCGGCCGGGAGGCUGGUCAGGCUGAGCCUGGCCAACAAUCGCCUGGCGGGAGUGCACGAGGCCGCCUUCGAGACCCUGGAGUCGCUGCAAGUGCUGGAGCUCAACGACAACAACCUGCGCGGCCUCAGCGUGGCCGCCCUGGCCGCGCUACCCGCGCUGCGCACCCUGCGCCUGGACGGGAACCCUUGGCUCUGCGACUGCGACUUUGCCCACCUCUUCACCUGGAUCCAGGAGAACGCGUCUAAGCUGCCCAAAGGCCUCGAUGAGAUCCAGUGCUCCCUGCCCCUGGAGAACAGGAGGGUGUCCCUCCGCGAGCUGUCGGAGGCCAGCUUCAGCGAGUGCAAGUUCAGCCUCUCGCUCACAGACCUGUUCAUCAUCAUCUUCUCCGGCGUGGCUGUGUCCAUCGCUGCCAUCAUCUCCAGCUUCUUCUUGGCCACAGUGGUGCAGUGUUUCCAGAGGUGCACCCCCAACAAAGAUGCCGAGGAGGAGGACGAGGACGAGGACGACUGAGCCACCCCUCCCGUUCCUCGCUUUCCAGAACCCAUGCUGGUGGCUCCCCUCUGAGAAGAGAGGGAGAAGCUGAGAGCAGAAAGGAAACCCACGCACCGCCAGUGCCCAGAGCACAGAGCCGCGCCUGCUCCGCGCCUUGUCCCCCGGACGGGUGCGCCGGUGGGACCUCUGAUCUCAGAGUUUAGGACCCGUGGAGUGAGGAGCACAGGAGGGAUUCCUGGAGAAGAGGCUGCUUCUCCACCUGAGGUGUGUGUGGGGGACGUGGCCAAGUCAGGCUUCAUAGCUGCUGGCUGAUGACCAACCUAGGGGAUGUGAGACUUGCAGCUCUUGCCUGCAAAGGUGGUUUGGGGACAUAUGUUUUCCGACCUGGCCUGGAAGACCACGCUGCACCUCCUUCCUCCUGAGGCGGCAGCUCAGACAUUGGAGAUUGGGGUUCAGGUCCCUCUCCUACAUUUGGUUAAAAUGGUGCUGAAGAGAAAGCUAAGAACUGGCCAAAGUGAGUUUGUCGUUACAUUUUGGUGAGCGGGUCUGGAAAACUUUUGUCAACCGAACUUGAACCCUGAUCCUUAUCUUUAGAGGUAGCACCCCAAGGAGGAAGGACAGUCAUUUUGUUUGGUCAUCCUGGCCUCUGCUCUGAGUUAUGCUUCCUUCUGAAGGUGUUUCCCUUCCUUGUCCCCACACCCUGCCCCCUCCUCAGCCAAACAACACCUGGCCACUUUCUGCGCGGGCGCCGUUCCAGACUUGCCAUCUUUGGAACUUGCGCUAAAGCCUUCCUGGCAACUAGGCUUCCGGAAAACAGGUUGCAUCAGACCAACAAAAUGGUAAAAUAUAACAAAACAAACGAACUAGGACUUGGCCUCUGAAAGACCUCCAUCCGGGGCCCCAGGGGCUGUGUGACAGUUUUGUGGAGCAUAGGCUGUGACAGGCAGUGUUUUUCAGGAACGUGGCAUGUGGUUCACAGACAAGGAGAAACAAUGUCCUGGGCCCAGCAGGUGAAUGCAGGACAGCACGGCUUAGCAGCACUGGGCCUUACUGGGCUCUGGCACUUAGCUGGGGGCCUCACGGAAGCUCCAGGGGCACUUCUGUGCGCUGCUUCUCCAUUGGUCCUCAUAACACCAUCCUUACGUGUCUUCUUCCACCGCUCCUUUCCAUCUGUGCUGCCACAAAGAACCACUGAGGGUCGGCUAGGCGUCAGGCAUCGAGGGGGAAAGACAGGCCCCUGCUUGUGUGGACCUCGUAUUACAAGUCGUGAUGAGCGCCAUGAGGGAGAUAAGUGAGGUCUUGUGAUGGAGUAACUGGGAGAAGCCACUCAAGGGUGGGUACUUGGGCCCUGGCCGAGGAGCUCAGUUGGCGAGAGAGUCAUCCUGAUACACUAAAGUUGCAAGUUUGAUCCCCGGUCAGGGCACAGACAAGAAUCAACCAAUGAAUGGAUAAAUAAGUGGAACAAAAAAACCUCUCUCUCUACCCCUCUCCCAGCUUCCUCUUGAAAAAUAAAUGAGUAAAUAAAUAAAGUGGGUAGUUGGGUAUAGUAGCCAGAGUUGACUAGAAAAACAAAACCAACAGGAGACAUGUAUAAUCUAUGUAUCUACCUAUCUACCUACUUUAUCUAUCUAUCUAUCUAUCUAUCUAUCUAUCUAUCUAUCUAUCCAUCCAUCCAUCCACCCACCCACCCAGAGAGAUUGUAAGGAGUUUGCUUACAUGAUUUUGGAAGCUGAGAAGCCCAUGAUCUGAAGGUGGCCACUGGAGAGCCAAGAAAAGCUGGUGGUCUGGCUCCAGAGUCCAGGGGCCUGACCUCCAGGCUCAGUCCAGUUGGCGGGCAGGAGAAGAUCUAGGCGGAGCAGUCGGGCGGAGAGCAGAGGGCAGUCUGCCUUACUCAGUCCACGGAUUCUAAUGCUGACCUCCUCAGAGAGAUCCUCACAGACACACCAGAAACAGCACAUACCUGGCCACCCUGCGACCCGGUCAAGUUGAUGGAGAGGCAGGCAGCCUCUUCGCAGACUCCACGGCAGCCUCAGCGGCCGAGUCACCACCUCUGUGGGCUCCACCUUGAGCGCAGGCGAUGUUUCUAUUGAGGAGACCAGGUAGGCAAACUGCAAUUGGUCCUCACGAACCGCCACGUGAUCCUUGAAUUUCAGUCGAAAGGUUUCAGCCUUUAUGUACACCUUGUUGUGAGUGAUGGUUCCUGAAGAAGGGCCUCGGAUCAGGAGAGAGGGCACCUCCACGGAUGCGGGGUCCCCGGAGGGAAGAUAAAAGGCGGCAGAGAGGGCCAAGCGCUCCGAGGCUGCGAGGCUGACACACAGAACCAUCUAGCGUCAGCAGCUCCCUGCCUGGCCACAGGUGCAGUGGAGACCUGUGCAGGAUCGGAUUGCUGCCUGUUGCCACAGCCUCAGCCCCGUACCCCCAGGAGCAGCCUCUCAGGACCCAGCUGGGCCCCCACCAAAGUCACAGUUUCUCUCAGGAGCCUAGCGAGACAUGCCCCAAGCAGUAGGAAUCACCAGAAGUGUUUCUGGUGAACAAAUUCCCUCUUAAUGUGAUGACUUUAUUCCUACCUGCACCAAGGGGCCCCUUGUGGUCCAUGAGCACAGGCCCUGCACAGCGUGGGGGCCAGCGGCCAGCGGCCACUCCCUGAAUGAAUGAGUAAUGAGGAGAGGGGCAACCUGGGGCUUUCUGAGCCCCAACCAACCAUCAUUUCUGCCGGCUGCACCCCCACUUUGGAAGGAAUACGAUUCUGAGGAAGAAGAGCUUUGUGAUGUUGCUGGUGGAAACAGUCACUACCUGGAUAUAAAGUUCCUGUGAAACACCGGAGACACUGGGGACAUGCAGGACGCCUGCGGGAUUGCUGACGAGGAGCCACAGCUCAGCUGGGAAACACCUUUAGAGACGUGACAGUGCAGACAAUAAGCGAUGGUGCAGGGCUCUCUGGCUUGCAGUCGGGGCUCAAGUUAUUAUGAACAAUGACGACACCAAUGCCCUACGCCAGUGGAGGGCCUCCAGUGCCGCCGACGCGCCCCUCGCGUCUCCACAAGUGUCAUUUGCGUCUCGAAUGUCACCUCCUCAGAAUCACUCUCAUCGCACCAGCUGAUGGUAUUUUCCAAACAGUUCGGACCACAAUGUAAAAUGAUCCCACUUCUUUGUUUAUUGUCUGUCUCUCUGAACUAGAACAUGAGCCUUCCAAGGGCAGGAACUUGGGCCGUUUGUGUCCCUGGUGUUUAGGACAGUGCUUGGCACAUAGUAGUCGCACAACAAGGUAACAGGGGUUGAAAGAGCCAACAAAUGAGUUCCAGGCCCCAUACUAGAAGCACUACAGACAUGAACGCCGUUUAGGCAUCUUCACAACUCCCGGCAAGAGCUGCCAUCGUCACGACCCUACAGACGAGGACCCCAGGCUCAGGGAAGGAGGAUGGACUACAGUGUGGAGUGGGGCGGCCUGGCCGCUGGUGCCCCGACCGCGGCCCAGCCUCUGCAACCCAGCCCCUGCACCCAGCUGCAUUCCCUUCUCCGGCCAGCAGGGACAGUGUGGAGUGGCACCUGUCCUGGGGCUGUGUGCUGGGCCCCAGGAGGAGCAGCCUGCACUGGCAAGACACCCCCAGAACAAGUUUAUCUUGAGCCUCAAACCCAGCAUCUCAGACCCCAUCACGAGAGUCAAAACCACCAAAAUAUCUUGUCUCAUUGUCUUGUCUCAUUGUCCCAUCUUAAGAUCUGAUGACAAAAGGUUGCGGCAGCAUCACAAAUAAAUUCAUCUUCUCGUGGUGACAGUGGGUAGCCCCAGUGUAGCUCGGACCUGGGCAAGGGGUCCCUGCUCUGGCCCUCGUCCGGCUCUUCUCUUCCCCUGGGUGAACAAUGUGUGAGGCACCCACCCCGAAUCCGUGCCCUUGUCUCGCACGUUCUCUGGGCACUUGGGAUUUCAGAAUUUCCUGCACAACUGUCCCCAGACUUGAGACUGGGCCCGUCUUCCCAGCGUCCCGCCUCCAGAGGGGACUGGGUGGCCAGGCAGUAGACAGCGCUGGGGGAUGCGGACAGCGUUUGGGCGCGCAGCCUGGAUGUCCACACAGGGGAGCCCAGGGUCUCUUGAGGUGCAGGAUGGCGCCAGGGCUGGGGAAGUAAGGGGGGUGGGUCUUAGAUGGCUCAGCUCUCCCCACACGCCAGAUUUCCGGGAAUUCAAG